UACGAGGGGUGCAAGCGUUGCUCGGAAUUAUUGGGCGUAAAGGGUAAGUAGGUGGUCUCAUUUGUCUGGGGUGAAAGCCUUGAGCUUAACUCAAGAAGUGCCCCAGAAACGGUGAGACUAGAGUCCUGGAGAGGGUCGUGGAAUUCCCGGUGUAGCGGUGAAAUGCGUAGAGAUCGGGAGGAACACCAGAGGCGAAGGCGGGUCUCUGGACAGUUCCUGACGCUGAGGCACGAAGGCCAGGGGAGCAAACGGG
rnacentral:rRNA from 1 species